rnacentral:tRNA from 1 species
GACAGUAUGGCCGAGUGGUUAAGGCGACAGACUUGAAAUCUGUUGGGAUCUCCCGCGCAGGUUCGAAUCCUGCUACUGUCG